AACGAACGCUGGCGGCAUGCCUAACACAUGCAAGUCGAACGAGACCUUCGGGUCUAGUGGCGCACGGGUGCGUAACGCGUGGGAACCUGCCUUUAGGUUCGGAAUAACUCCCCGAAAGGGGUGCUAAUACCGGAUAAUGUCUUCGGACCAAAGAUUUAUCGCCUUUAGAUGGGCCCGCGUAGGAUUAGCUGGUUGGUGGGGUAAAGGCCUACCAAGGCGACGAUCCUUAGCUGGUCUGAGAGGAUGAUCAGCCACACUGGGACUGAGACACGGCCCAGACUCCUACGGGAGGCAGCAGUGGGGAAUAUUGGACAAUGGGCGAAAGCCUGAUCCAGCAAUGCCGCGUGAGUGAUGAAGGCCUUCGGGUCGUAAAGCUCUUUUACCAGGGAUGAUAAUGACAGUACCUGGAGAAUAAGCUCCGGCUAACUCCGUGCCAGCAGCCGCAGUAAAAC
rnacentral:rRNA from 1 species